rnacentral:rRNA from 1 species
UACGAAGGGGGCUAGCGUUGCUCGGAAUCACUGGGCGUAAAGCGCACGUAGGCGGACUCUUAAGUCGGUGGUGAAAUCCUGGAGCUCAACUCCAGAACUGCCUCGAUACUGGGGAGUCUCGAGUUCGGGAGAGGUGAGUGGAACUGCGAGUGUAGAGGUGAAAUUCGUAGAUAUUCGCAAGAACACCAGUGGCGAAGGCGGCUCACUGGCCCGAUACUGACGCUGAGG